CCUGCCUGCCACAGGCGUUGCAAAGGUGGCUGCUGUGGCACCUUUGUGUCAUUAGGUGGCAGAGAGAGACAGGCUAUGUUCUACGCUCGGGUGUUCCCAAACCCGUGAGCACUCAGAGUGAUUGCUGGCCUGACACU